rnacentral:rRNA from 1 species
UACGGGGGGGGGCAAGCGUUGUUCGGAAUUACUGGGCGUAAAGGGCUCGUAGGCGGCCAACUAAGUCAGACGUGAAAUCCCUCGGCUUAACCGGGGAACUGCGUCUGAUACUGGAUGGCUAGAGAUUGGGAGAGGGAUGCGGAAUUCCAGGUGUAGCGGUGAAAUGCGUAGAUAUCUGGAGGAACACCGGUGGCGAAGGCGGGUCUCUGGGCCGACACUGACGCUGAGGAGCGAAAGCGUGGGGAGCGAACAGG